rnacentral:lncRNA from 1 species
GGCUGCAGCCUCCGGCACUUUGCCUGCGAACAGAACCUGCUGUCGCGGCCAGAUGGCUCUGCUUCCUUCCUGCAAGGUGACACCUCUGUCCUGGCGGGUGUGUACGGGCCGGCCGAGGUGAAGGUCAGCAAAGAGAUUUUCAACAAGGCCACACUCGAAGUGAUCCUGAGCCCAGCCUUGCCUCUCUGACCCAUGGGCUCCUUGAGCCUGCAGCUCUGUAACCACAGGGCUCCUGUGGGGAGGCCUUGGCCUGUGACAGCCCCCAGGCCUGGGGGCACAGAUCCCCCCAGCAAGGAUAACAUUCAAAGGAGCUCACAUUUAUGGAAUGGAUGAAUCAAUAAAUUAAUUCACUUU